UACGAAGGAUCCUAGCGUUGUCCGGAUUUACUGGGCGUAAAGCGUGCGUAGGCGGUUCGCUGUGUCCGAUGUGAAAGCCCCGGGCUUAACCUGGGAAUGGCAUUGGAAACUGGCGGGCUUGAGUGUGGCAGAGGGGGGUGGAAUUCCGGCGUGUAGCAGUGAAAUGCGUAGAGAUGCGGAGGAACACCGAUGGCGAAGGCAGCCCCCUGGGUUAACACUGACGCUCGAGGCACGA
rnacentral:rRNA from 1 species